rnacentral:rRNA from 1 species
CCCUUAGAUGUUCUGGGCCGCACGCGUGCUACACUGAGUGGAUCAGCGGGUCAGGUUGCGCGAAAGCGUUUCCUAAUCUUUAAAUCCGCUCGUGAUGGGGAUUGACGGUUGCAAUUUUCUGUCAUGAACGAGGAAUACCUUGUAAGCGCGGGUCAUCAUCCCGCGCUGAAUACGUCCCUGCCCUUUGUACACACCGCCCGUCGCUCCUACCGAUUGAGUGGUCCGGUGAAUAAUUCAGACUGCAGCAGCAUCCAGUUCCUGGAAGUUGUAGCGGAAAGUUUCGUGAACCUUAUCACUUAGAGGAAGGAGAAGUCGUAACA